UGGGGAAUAUUGGACAAUGGGCGCAAGCCUGAUCCAGCCAUGCCGCGUGAGUGAUGAAGGCCCUAGGGUUGUAAAGCUCUUUCACCGGUGAAGAUAAUGACGGUAACCGGAGAAGAAGCCCCGGCUAACUUCGUGCCAGCAGCCGCGGUAAUACGAAGGGGGCUAGCGUUGUUCGGAUUUACUGGGCGUAAAGCGCACGUAGGCGGACUUUUAAGUCAGGGGUGAAAUCCCGGGGCUCAACCCCGGAACUGCCUUUGAUACUGGAAGUCUUGAGUAUGGUAGAGGUGAGUGGAAUUCAGAGUGUAGAGGUGAAAUUCGUAGAUAUUCGGAGGAAAACCAGGAGCGAAGGCGGCUCACUGGACCAUUACUGACGCUGAGGUGCGAAAGCGUGGGGAGCAAACAGG
rnacentral:rRNA from 1 species